GAACGCUGGCGGCACGCUUAACACAUGCAAGUCGAACGAAGGCCCGGAGCUUGCUCCGGAUACCUUAGUGGCGGACGGGUGAGUAACGCGUGGGAAUCUACCUUACGAUGGGGGACAACAGUUGGAAACGACUGCUAAUACCGCAUACGCCCUUCGGGGGAAAGGCUUCGGCCGUCGUUAGAGGAUCCCGCGUUCGAUUAGCUAGUUGGUAGGGUAAUGGCCUACCAAGGCAACGAUCGAUAGCUGGUUUGAGAGGAUGAUCAGCCACACUGGAACUGAGACACGGUCCAGACUCCUACGGGAGGCAGCAGUGGGGAAUAUUGGACAAUGGGGGAAACCCUGAUCCAGCGAUGCCGCGUGAGUGAAGAAGGCCUUAGGGUUGUAAAACUCUUUCACCCGUGAAGAUGAUGACUGUAGCGGGAGAAGAAGCUCCGGCUAACUCCGUGCCAGCAGCCGCGGUAAUACGGAGGGGGCUAGCGUUGCUCGGAAUUACUGGGCGUAAAGCGCGCGUAGGCGGUGAAUCCAGUCAGGCGUGAAAGCCCAGGGCUUAACCCUGGAAUUGCGUUUGAUACUGAUUUGCUAGAAUUCGAGAGAGGGUAGUGGAAUUUCCAGUGUAGAGGUGAAAUUCGUAGAUAUUGGAAAGAACACCAGUGGCGAAGGCGGCUACCUGGCUCGAUAUUGACGCUGAGGUGCGAAAGCGUGGGGAGCGAACGGGAUUAGAUACCCCGGUAGUCCACGCCGUAAACGAUGAGUGCUAGUU
rnacentral:rRNA from 1 species